UGUGUGGAGGGGGGUGAGGGUACCGUGCAGUGUUGGGUAACCUUCCCUUCUCUCACAGU
rnacentral:pre_miRNA from 1 species